AAAGCUCCGGCGGUUAGAGAUGGGCAUGCGGGACAUUAGCUUGUUGGUAAGGUAACGGCUUACCAAGGCUGCGAUGUCUAGGGGGUCUGAGAGGACUAUCCCCCACACUGGUACUGAGACACGGACCAGACUCCUACGGGAGGCAGCAGUGAGGAAUAUUGCGCAAUGGAGGAAACUCUGACGCAGCCAUGCCGCGUGCAGGAAUAAGGCCCUAUGGGUUGUAAACUGCUUUUAUACGGGAAGAAAUAUAUCUACGUGUAGAUAUUUGACGGUACCGUACGAAUAAGGAUCGGCUAACUCCGUGCCAGCAGCCGCGGUAAUACGGAGGAUCCAAGCGUUAUCCGGAUUUAUUGGGUUUAAAGGGUCCGCAGGCGGGAAAUUAAGUCAGUGGUGAAAUCCUACAGCUUAACUGUAGAACUGCCAUUGAUACUGGUUUUCUUGAGUACACCUGAAGUGGGCGGAAUGUGUCAUGUAGCGGUGAAAUGCUUAGAUAUGACACAGAACACCGAUUGCGAAGGCAGCUCACUAAAGUGUCACUGACGCUGAGGGGACGAAAGCGUGGGGUAGCGAACAGGAUUAGAUACCCUGGUAGUCCACGCCGUACACGAUGAUCACUA
rnacentral:rRNA from 1 species